rnacentral:rRNA from 1 species
GUUUAUAUAUCCGUUUAGCUUCACUAUUUAUAUAAUAGACCGCUGAAUUUACUUUUGUACAUUAUGUCUACCUUAUUCAGGUGACUAUAGCAUCAGGGUUCCACCUCUUCCCAUUCCGAACAGAGAAGUUAAGCCUGAUCACGCCGAUGGUACUGCGUAACAGUGGGAGAGUAGGUAGUCGCCGUUUUUUUCAGAUGGUUCAUCCCCUUCGGUCGAAAGACCGGAGGGGAUGACUUGUUUUAUACCAUACCCUGUUUAACAAGGAUUCCCGACCACCUCUUUCUUGGUUCAUCCGGUAUAUUCCAGAUUCAACCUUCAGUUUUCCGGCUUUAUCAUAAUUAUGUCUUUGAUGU